GAUAAACGCUGGCGGCGUGCCUAACACAUGCAAGUCGAACGCCCUUUUGCGCAAGUGAGAGGGAGUGGCGGACGGGUGAGUACCACGUGGGUACCUACCUUGAGGUGAGGAAUACCACCGAGAAAUCGGUGACAAGACCGCAUACGCUUGGCAACAAGCAAAGUCUCGCAAGAGACGCCACAAGAUGGGCCUGCGCCUGAUUAGCUAGUUGGUGAGGUAAUGGCUCACCAAGGCGACGAUCAGUAGCUGGUCUGAGAGGAUGAUCAGCCACACUGGGAUUGAGAACGGCCCAGACUCCUACGGGG
rnacentral:rRNA from 1 species